rnacentral:rRNA from 1 species
UACGGAAGGCAGCAGUGGGGAAUAUUGCACAAUGGGCGCAAGCCUGAUGCAGCCAUGCCGCGUGUAUGAAAAAGGCCUUCGGGUUGUAAAGUACUUUCAGUCGUGAGGAAGGUGUUAAGGUUAAUAACCUUAGCAAUUGACGUUAGCGACAGAAGAAGCACCGGCUAACUCCGUGCCAGCAGCCGCGGUAAUACGGAGGGUGCGAGCGUUAAUCGGAAUUACUGGGCGUAAAGGGCACGCAGGCGGUUAAUUAAGUUGGAUGUGAAAUCCCCGGGCUUAACCUGGGAAUGGCAUUCAAGACUGGUUAGCUAGAGUCUUGUAGAGGGGGUGAAUUCCAUGUGUAGCGGUGAAAUGCGUAGAGAUGUGGAGGAAUACCGGUGGCGAAGGCGGCCCCGUGGACAAAGACUGACGCUCAUGUGCGAAAGCGUGGGGAGCAAACAGGGAUUAGAUACC